rnacentral:rRNA from 1 species
GAUGAACGCUAGCUACAGGCUUAACACAUGCAAGUCGAGGGGCAUCAGGAAGAAAGCUUGCUUCAAUUGCCGGCGACCGGCGCACGGGUGAGUAACGCGUAUCCAACCUUCCGCUUACUCGGGGAUAGCCUUUCGAAAGAAAGAUUAAUACCCGAUAGCAUAAUGAUUCCGCAUGGUUUCAUUAUUAAAGGAUUCCGGUAAAGGAUGGGGAUGCGUUCCAUUAGGUUGUUGGUGGGGUAACGGCCCACCAAGCCUUCGAUGGAUAGGGGUUCUGAGAGGAAGGUCCCCCACAUUGGAACUGAGACACGGUCCAAACUCCUACGGGAGGCAGCAGUGAGGAAUAUUGGUCAAUGGGCGAGAGCCUGAACCAGCCAAGUAGCGUGAAGGAUGACGGCCCUACGGGUUGUAAACUUCUUUUGUGCGGGAAUAAAGGAGCCUACGUGUAGGCUUUUGCAUGUACCGUAACGAAUAAGCAUCGGCUAACUCCGUGCCAGCAGCCGCGGUAAUACGGAGGAUGCGAGCGUUAUCCGGAUUUAUUGGGUUUAAAGGGAGCGUAGACGGGUUUUUAAGUCAGCUGUGAAAGUUUGGGGCUCAACCUUAAAAUUGCAGUUGAAACUGGAGACCUUGAGUACGGUUGAGGCAGGCGGAAUUCGUGGUGUAGCGGUGAAAUGCUUAGAUAUCACGAAGAACCCCGGUUGCGAAGGCAGCCUGCUAAGCCGCCACUGACGUUGAGGCUCGAAAGUGCGGGUAUCAAACAGG